AUGGACAGCGAGUUGGCCAGUAGGAAGCUAUUUAAGCCCAAACAUCAGCUCUACCUGGCCUUUCUGCCUUCCAAAGUACAGGACACCAGUGCCCGGCACCAGGAGUUACAGGGACAAAAUAUUGUGGAGCACUCUGCGCGCCAGCUCGUAGGCCCUCGCCUCCGACUUUCUGCCUCUGCCGCCGCCGCCGCCGCCGCCGCCGCUGAGGGAGAUCGUGCACCUGCAGGCAGGCCAGUGCGGCAACCAGAUCGGCGCCAGGUUUUGGGAGGUGAUCAGCCACGAGCAUGGCAUCGAUCCUACCGGCACCUACCAUGGGGACAGCGAUCUGCAGCUGGAGCGGAUCAACGUGUACUACAACGAGGCCACCGGUGGCAAGUACGUGCCCCGAGCUGUGCUCGUGGAUCUGGAGCCCGGCACCAUGGACUCUGUGCGCUCGGGGCCCUUCGGGCAGAUCUUCAGGCCGGACAACUUCGUCUUCGGUCAGAGUGGUGCCGGGAACAACUGGGCUAAGGGGCACUACACAGAAGGGGCGGAGCUUGUUGACUCCGUGCUGGAUGUUGUGAGGAAGGAGGCGGAGAGCUGUGACUGCCUGCAGGACUUCCAGCUGACCCACUCCCUGGGUGGGGGGACUGGGUCCGGGAUGGGGACCCUCCUCAUCAGCAAGAUCCGAGAGGAGUACCCCGACCGCAUCAUGAACACCUUCAGCGUGGUGCCCUCACCCAAGGUGUCAGACACCGUGGUGGAGCCCUACAACGCCACCCUGUCAGUGCACCAACUUGUAGAAAACACAGAUGAGACCUAUUGCAUAGAUAACGAGUGGCGCAAGGCCUUCCUGCACUGGUACACGGGCGAGGGCAUGGACGAGAUGGAGUUCACCGAGGCCGAGAGCAACAUGAACGACCUGGUGUCUGAGUACCGGCAGUACCAGGACGCCAGGGCCGAGGAGGAGGGCGAGUUUGAGGAGGAGGCAGAGGAGGAGGUGGCCUAAAGCUGUCUGGUAGCCGGUAAAGCGUGGAAGCCGUGUGAACUCUUUAUUCACUCACAACCUGUUCUCUGAUAGCCUUGUCUCCUUGUGUGUGUAUUUGUUCUUCCUGUCUUGACAUCACAUGCUGUACAGACACCACCAUUAAAGCGUUUUCAUAGUGAAAAAAAAAA